rnacentral:pre_miRNA from 1 species
AUAAGAAUCAGUGAGAACUUGUUAAAAUGCAGAUUCUGUGUUAGGGUUGAGAGUCUGCAUUUCUAACAAGCUCCCAAGUGAUGUUUUG